rnacentral:rRNA from 1 species
ACCAGACUCCUACGGGAGGCAGCAGUGGGGGAUAUUGCACAAUGGGGGGAACCCUGAUGCAGCGACGCCGCGUGGGUGAAGAAGCGCCUCGGCGCGUAAAGCCCCGUCAGCAGGGAAGAAAAUGACGGUACCUGAAGAAGAAGCCCCGGCUAACUACGUGCCAGCAGCCGCGGUAAUACGUAGGGGGCAAGCGUUAUCCGGAUUUACUGGGUGUAAAGGGGGCGCAGACGGCGAUGCAAGCCAGGAGUGAAAGCCCGGGGCCCAACCCCGGGACUGCUCUUGGAACUGCGUGGCUGGAGUGCAGGAGGGGCAGGCGGAAUUCCUGGUGUAGCGGUGAAAUGCGUAGAUAUCAGGAGGAACACCAGUGGCGAAGGCGGCCUGCUGGACUGCAACUGACGUUGAGGCUCGAAGGCGUGGGGAGCAAACAGGAUUAGAUACCCCCGUAU